GGCCCCGUAGCUCAGGCGGUUAGAGCAUUGACUGUACUAAGGCCUUCCCCUUGCUGGCGUGGGUUCGAAUCCCACCGAGGCCA
rfam:Schistocephalus solidus strain NST_G2 genome assembly, scaffold: SSLN_scaffold0002597